AGCUUUGCGCAGUGGCAGUAUCAUAGCCAAUGAGGUUUAUCUCAGGCGCGAUUAUUGCUAAUUAAAAAAAGUCCUAAAGAAAACUGAAGAGGCUAUCACUAAUAGAUAUUACUUAUAAUAUUAGAAGAACAGAUUUAU